rnacentral:rRNA from 1 species
GGGCCCGCACAAGCGGUGGAGCAUGUGGUUUAAUUCGAUGCAACGCGAAGAACCUUACCUACCCUUGACAUUGACAGAAUCCUGUAGAGAUACGGGAGUGCCUUCGGGCCUGGAAACAGGUGCUGCAUGGCUGUCGUCAGCUCGUGUCGUGAGAUGUUGGUUAAGUCCCGUAACGAGCGCAACCCCUUGUCCUUAGUUGCCAGCACGUAAUGGUGGGGACUCUAAGGAGACUGCCGUGACAAACCGGAGGAAGGUGGGAUGACGUCAAGUCAUCAUGGGCCCUUAUGGGUAGGGCUACACACGUGCUACAAUGGGCAGUACAGAGGGUCGCGAAGCCGCGAGGUGGAGC